CAGCCGCCACGGUAAUACGAAGGGUGCAAGCGUUAAUCGGAAUUACUGGGCGUAAAGCGUGCGCAGGCGGUUUGUUAAGACAGAUGUGAAAUCCCCGGGCUUAACCUGGGAACUGCAUUUGUGACUGGCCGGCUAGAGUAUGGCAGAGGGAGGUGGAAUUCCACGUGUAGCAGUGAAAUGCGUAGAUAUGUGGAGGAACACCGAUGGCGAAGGCAGCCUCCUGGGCCAAUACUGACGCUCAUGCACGAAAGCGUGGGGAGCAAACAGGAUUAGAUACCCCAGUAGUCCCUGUCUCUUAUAC
rnacentral:rRNA from 1 species